ACCGGAAGUUAAAUUUGGGCCACUUUGGCCCGGUUUCACAGACAAGGCUUAAGGCUAGUCCCAGACUAAAAUGAAUGUGUGACCUGUUUUAACUGAAUAUAACUUGCCCAGAAAUAUCUUAAAAUAUAUCAUUGCGAUUGUUUUGUCUCAAGAUGCACACCAGUAAUGUAUUCUUCUAAGGCAUUUUUAUAAAAGCGACAUAAAUAUCUUAAUUAAACUAAGGCAUAGUCCUGGCUUAAAAUAAGCCGUGUCUGUGAAACCGGGUCAUAAUGUUUGUUUAUGUUGUUGCUGUUGAUCCCGUCUUUUUAUUAUUUAAUUAUUUUAAUUAACCUAUUUUAUUUCACAUUUAAUUAUUUUAUUUUACUGUAUAUAUUUUUUUGUUUAAUUUUUAUUAUUGUUUUUAUAUUAUAUUCAAUCAACAAAAGUAGGGAUGCACCCAGCCGAUAAGCUCAUGUACUAAGCUCAUGUACUCGUACUCGUAAAAAUGCACCGAUACGAAAGACGGAUACCUCAUGUGACAGAACUGACUGAAAUUUGCGUUGAAAGUUUGUAAAAAGCACAUAAAAUUAUUUAGUUUUUCAGAAUGUGUUUAAGGUGGAGUUGUUUGUAAUUUUGAAGCUAUUCUAUUUCUUUUAGUCUCACUGUGUUGUGAAAAGGUCCAGGCAUCGGUGUCGGCGAGUACCAGGAAAAAAAAAUAUCGGUAUAGGCCUACUCCUACUCGGCCUUUGAAAAAUUGUAUCAGUGCUUAAACAAAAGUUGGAUGAGACACUCAACAUGGGGACAACACAGAUGGAAUGAAUGGUUCUAUUAGGGUUCAUAAAUCCCUAGACAAUCAUUUUUGGUGCCCAUGGAAACAGAUACAGCUUUACAGAAGUUACAUAAGAGUCAGUGGAGCACUUUAUCUUUCCAAAUGAAAUGUGUCCUGGGUGUCAUACACAGCCCUUCUGACUGCCAAUGCAUUAAAAUUCUGCAAGAAUAUGCAACGCAACAUCUGGACCAUGCUCCGCCCCACAGUGCUAGAGGCUUGAACUCAUGGACGGCCAAUCCUCAUCACACAACAGCUGGAAGAGGAGAUUUAAAAUGAUAGAAAGAAUAAGGUGGAGCACAGGGUACGUCCUGCCCAGUGUUGUCAGACAGAUUGCAAGUCUAACAGGAUGAGCAAUGCUCAUAAUCCUUCACUGUUCAAAUAUUCUCUGACCUGAGAUCUGCCGAACAGCACCAUUUACAUGGAUGGAUGGAUAUGCCUUGGAAUUUAAAGUUUUAAAGUGGGCUUGUAAAAAUGGCUUUUUGACAGAAUUUUCAGUUUAACAUUACUGAGGCUAAAACCUUUGUACUACUGUCUUAUUCAUUUCCUCUAUUCAAAACCUUUUAGCUCUGCCUUUCUUGUUGCACGUGAUUACAUGCAUAAAACAAUAAAAUUCUCAUGAAAUGCAAGAGCCUGUUGGUGAGGUAUCAUGUGUGAACAUGAAUCAUACUUGUUGGGGGACAUCAACACUAUUACAUCGAAAGGGAAAUUCUUCAUAGCAAGGAAAACAGCUUAUCAACCAUAACAGAAUUGGUUUGCUGAACCUUUUCAUUUAUAUAAUAUUGUGCAUAUAAAUGCCAGCAGUUGGUAUUAAGAGUCAUCUGUUACCAUCCUGUUUCCCGCUGCCCGCAGGAUCAUGACAUUGAAGGUUGAUAUACAGCCCGUGUCAACAGCCAAACAUUUCAUUUAAUUCAAGGUCACUCGUGCUAAAUAAAACACUGAGUUUUUUGUAACGGGAGAACAUUAAAUGGAGGCCAAAUUAGUUUUCAACUCUUCUGACCAUAUUAGGGUCUUAAUGUUUCACCUUGUCAGGCUGAGCAACAGAGGAUUUCCAUUCAAUGUUUUCUUCAGGAAUCUAUUACUGAUUAAAUCAGUUUCUUCCUCACAAUUACACAGAUGUGAAGAAAUACUCACACCAAAACAAAUGAACGAAAAUUUCACUAACAAGUCUGGUGGAGGGGAAUGGUAAGUUUGUCUGAGACCUGCAAAACAAGUCACGUAUGACCAGAUAAAACCUACAUUUUUGGAAAUGGGCAGUUCUCUGCAAAUGUCAACCUUAAGAUGAAAAAUUUAAGGUUUUCACCACACUGAAGGGUCAGACGUCAAUAUUUGG